rnacentral:SRP_RNA from 12 species
GCCGGGCGCGGUGGCGCGCGCCUGUAGUCCCAGCUACUCGGGAGGCUGAGGCAGGAGGAUCGCUUGAGCCCAGGAGUUCUGGGCUGCAGUGCGCUAUGCCGAUCGGGUGUCCGCACUAAGUUCGGCAUCAAUAUGGUGACCUCCCGGGAGCGGGGGACCACCAGGUUGCCUAAGGAGGGGUGAACCGGCCCAGGUCGGAAACGGAGCAGGUCAAAACUCCCGUGCUGAUCAGUAGUGGGAUCGCGCCUGUGAAUAGCCACUGCACUCCAGCCUGGGCAACAUAGCGAGACCCCGUCUCU